GACGAACGCUGGCGGCGUGCUUAACACAUGCAAGUCGAACGGUGAAGCCCUUCGGGGUGGAUCAGUGGCGAACGGGUGAGUAACACGUGAGCAACCUGCCCCUGGCUCUGGGACAACCACUGGAAACGGUGGCUAAUACCGGAUACGACCCGCCUCGGCAUCGAGUGUGGGUGGAAAGUUUUUCGGCUGGGGAUGGGCUCGCGGCCUAUCAGCUUGUUGGUGAGGUGAAGGCUCACCAAGGCGACGACGGGUAGCCGGCCUGAGAGGGCGACCGGCCACACUGGGACUGAGACACGGCCCAGACUCCUACGGGAGGCAGCAGUGGGGAAUAUUGCACAAUGGGCGAAAGCCUGAUGCAGCGACGCCGCGUGAGGGAUGACGGCCUUCGGGUUGUAAACCUCUUUCAGCUCAGAAGAAGCGAAAGUGACGGUAGGAGCAGAAGAAGCACCGGCUAACUACGUG
rnacentral:rRNA from 1 species